rnacentral:rRNA from 1 species
UGGGGAACCUGCCCCAUAGUCUGGGAUACCACUUGGAAACAGGUGCCAAUACCGGAUAAGAAAGCGGAUCGCAUGAUCAGCUUUUAAAAGGCGGCGUAAGCUGUCGCUAUGGGAUGGCCCCGCGGUGCAUUAGCUAGUUGGUAAGGUAAAGGCUUACCAAGGCGAUGAUGCAUAGCCGAGUUGAGAGACUGAUCGGCCACAUUGGGACUGAGACACGGCCCAAACUCCUACGGGAGGCAGCAGCA